AUCAGGAAGAUAACACCAACCUGGCCAGAGUUUUGACCAACCACAUCCACACUGGCCAUCACUCUUCCAUGUUCUGGAUGCGGGUACCCUUGGUGGCACCAGAGGACCUGAGAGAUGAUAUAAUUGAGAAUGCACCAACUACACACACACAGGAGUACAGUGGAGAGGAGAAAACGUGGAUGUGGUGGCACAACUUCCGGACUUUGUGUGACUAUAGUAAGAGGAUUGCAGUGGGUGAGUCCAUGAGAAUCCUGGGAUG
rnacentral:sRNA from 1 species